UGGGGGAUAUUGCACAAUGGGCGAAAGCCUGAUGCAGCGACGCCGCGUGGGGGAUGAAGGCCUUCGGGUUGUAAACUUCUUUUGCUCUGAACAAGGCAUGCUAAUGGGUGUGUUGAGUGUAGGGGUUGAUUAGCGCCGGCUAACUACGUGCCAGCAGCCGCGGUAAUACGUAGGGCGCGAGCGUUGUCCGGAAUUAUUGGGCGUAAAGGGCUUGUAGGUGGCUGGUUGCGUCUGCCGUGAAAGCUCAUGGCUUAACUGUGGGUUUGCGGUGGGUACGGGCUGGCUUGAGUGCAGUAGGGGAGGCUGGAAUUCCUGGUGUAGCGGUGGAAUGCGCAGAUAUCAGGAGGAAUACCGGUGGCGAAGGCGGGUCUCUGGGCUGUUACUGACACUGAGGAGCGAAAGCAUGGGGAGCGAACAAG
rnacentral:rRNA from 1 species